GUAAACUCUGCUUUAAGUCAAGUCAUGGGGCCAUACCCGGAAGACACAGACUAAAUUACUAUUCAUUAUCAGAAGGAAAUUUAGAUUACUCCUAUGCAUACUUAAUUCCCAACAUCUCACUGGCAGUAGAAGUUAGUGGGAGUGACUUGUGUUCAAAAGCUCCAAAAAUUAGGUUUCAAAAUUCUCCUCUGGGUUACAAACAGGGCUCGGUAAUCAACAGCUUUCAGUUCAAGCUCCUGAAAUUGCAAAUCAAUGUUCUCUACUUGCUGCUUCCAUAAAUAAAUGUAUUCUUAAAAUGAACUAAAUUGUUUGUAGCAUGAACAUAAGAUAGUUUCAGGAAAUUAAAGAGUAAAAAUGAUUAAGAAUCAAAAGAUAACUUUUUAUUUUGCUCAAAUAUUAGUAUUUCUUCAGAAAUGAGAUAUAUUUUAUGGAAAACAUGUCAAUUCGCAAAUAGGAUAGGAAAAUGUUAAUCAACUCUCCCCCCUACCCUCAUCUUGUGCAUGUAGAAUCUUUCUGAAUUUUCCAUUACAGGGAGAAAAAUGAAAGAAUCGUCUAGCUUAAUUCUCUAGUACAAUUUGAAUUUGCCACUCACAAAUAUAUGAGCAUUUAUAAUCAGGAAUUCACUAUCUUGGCUAUCUGGUGACUGGAAUUUUAUUUAUUUAAUUUAAUUUAAUUUAAUUUAAUUUUUAUUUUUUUGAGACAGAUUUUCACUCUUAUUGCCCAGGCUGGAGUGCAAUGGCAUGAUCUCAGCUCACUGCACCCUCCACUGCCUGGGUUCAAGUGAUUCUCCUGCCUCAGCCUCCCAAGUAGCUGGGCUUACAGGCAUGUGCAAUCACACCCAGCUAAUUUUGUAUUUUUAGUAGAGAUGGGGUUUCACCAUGUUGGUCAGGCUGGUCUCAAACUCCUGGCCUCAGGUGAUUCACCCAUCUUGGCCUCCCGAAGUGAUGGGGUUACAGGCAUGAGCCACCGUGCCUGGCCUGAAAAUUUCUAAAAUUAGGAAAAAAGAAAUUGAAUUGUGAUUUCAAAUGACAUCCACAAACAGUAAACUCAAAUGGCAACAGGACCCAGGGAAGCCAGUGAGUAAAGUGGGCCAUUUAGAAGACUCUAGAGAGUAAUGGAGUGAACAAGGGAACUGACAUUCUGUCUAUGAUGGAACAUCAGGGCUAAACCAGAGGCAACUAUUUCCAAGUAAAAGUGAGGGCUUAAUGUUGCCAGAAACCAUGUGGGGGUUAUAUAAGUCAUAUUCUUGAAACUUAGUUAACCUCAGUCCCUAAAAACCAGUGAAUAAUCAGAGAUAUCAAGGAGAAGAAGGACACAGUGAGAGUUAAAUUUUAAAAAAGUGUUAGCAUUCCAUUUUUCAAUUUGCCUCCUUUCUGAAAAUUCUAUCUAACAACUGGAACGAGAGGCUGACUGAAGCCUAAGAAAAAAGAUAAGAUAAAGGAUUAGAUGUUAUCCAUUGCUCUAAAAUAAUUUACCAGCACAUAAUGCAAUUUUGUUUCAGUCAUUCACCCCCAUUUUAUUUAAAGAUUUUACUUCAGAUAUUCCUCCCUUCCAUCCUCCAAUAAUCUUGAAGCCAGAAAAACUAAGUUUUAUCACUAGCUUGAUCACUUAGAAGUUAUGUUGGGUCAGAUAAGUAACUCAGAUUAUUUUUUAGAAAUGAGAAUGUUACCAAUAUUUGUAUGAUUGAAUAAUUUCAAAUAAGAAAUAUAAUCUCAACUCAAAUCAUCUUAAAAAAGGAAAUUUCUCUUGCUUCAUAACAGAGUCCAGCCUACAAAAGGCCACCGAGUUGAUUGAUUCGGAAGUUCAGUGAUAUUAAGGCUCUUUCCUUUUCUCUGGUCUACCAUCCUGGGCAUUUCCUUCAACCUCAAGUAGGUAGCAGGACUGUUGUAGUGGUAUCAGGUAUUACAUCUAGACAUGGAACAAGAGAAGUUAUUUCUUUCCUAUAACUUUCUAUGGAACUAAUUUUUUUUUCACUAAGUACUUCCCAGAAGAAAAACUUCCUUCUUUUUGGAAAAUACUAAGUCAUCUAUCCAUGUAUGAACCAAUCAAUGCCAAGGAGAUGGAUUACCAUCACACCCAUCCAUGAAGAUAACCCCAAGGCUCAUGGUUCUGUGCAAAAGGAGUAGAUAUCUGAACAAGAUUUUGACUCUAUUGGGAGCAAAAGAGGAUGAUGGUUGCUGGGAAGGUUACCAACAAAGAUCACUACACUGGCCCAACUUACUGUUGACACAGUAAAGUGUCCCGCACUUGUAUGCUAGGAUUAUUAUCACAGGUUGUGUUUGCUCCAGGUUAUCGGCAUUGUGCCUGCACUGAAUAAAAACAAGCAGCUCCAACUUCUCAGGGCUGCUCUCUGGCCACUAGAGCCAGGCAGUCACCUAGCUGCUGUUAUGCUGCAUACCUGUCUCUGAGUACUCGCUUCAUCCAUCGGCCAGGGUCUGUGGGACAGACCAGGCAGGUGGUGCCCCAUGUGAGGAACGCUGCAAUGGAUUGCAAGGGAACCCCUGAAAACAAAUGUGAAGUGACUGAGCAGUGUUAACCUUAGAAGACUAGAACCUAAUGAGUUAUGGCAAACAGAUGUUAUGCACGUCCCUGAAUUUGGAAAACUAAGAGGAUAUGCUUGUGUUCACACCCCGUCAGGUCCUCUUUGGAUUCCAGCACGAGGCAUCAAACCAUACCAUGGCAUGGCUAGGACCCAACCCGGUACCAAAAUGAAGAAAAUGACCCUACAGGACCCACAAUCCCGGAUGAUGUGGCUUCCUUGGAUGACACAGGCCCUGGACAUUACCUGGGGGAUGCUGAAGAAGACAACUCAGGAGGCCAAGCAAAUCCUGCUCCAGGCACAGACACCAUUCACUCCAGGAAGCUGCCAUUCAUUCGACAUAAGUAGGUGCUUCAUCUGAUAAGCGCUGCUUGUGUAAUUUAUCAAUGACAGAGAAGGCAGAUAGCAGCAUGCAUACUUGGGGCUGCAUUUGAAGGAGAGCAACAUCCCUUUGUUUUCACAGAGGAGAACAAGCAUGAGUUGAGAUUGUGGUGCUUCUUGAAGUCUCAUCCAGAUCAGAAACCUGCUGCUCUGUCCACAUUCCAUCCACCAAAGCAACCCAUAUGGCCAUGUCCAGCAUCAGAUGGGGAAAGGCAGUUCUCCUCUAGCACGAGGAGCUGCAAAGCCACAUGGCAAAGGAUGAGUGUGUAAAAAAUAAAUGCAGGAGGGCAGGAGGCAUUGGGAACAAUGAUCCAAUCUACUGCAGUGUGUUAUUCUCUCCAGCUUGGCAUGCGUUCCGUUCCCUGUGUACAGCAUCCUGCAGUGACAGGAGCUCACGCUGGUCCUUUAAUAUGGGCCAGAUACUGUGCUAAGCACAGCACAUGGUUUAUCUUGGUGUAGCCUCACAGCAACAUUGGAGCAAAGCACAGUGUAUAGCACCAUUUAUUCAUGAGAAGUUAGAGCUUCAUAGCAUUUAAAGCAAAUUCCCAGAUUGCACAGUGUUAGUCAGUGAAAAAGCUGAAAAUUGGACCCGACUAUCUUCUGACUCCAGAGUCAUACAUGUCUUUCUCUCCUAAAGUAUCCUUACCUAGGGUAAUGUACAUCCUAGAGUCUUGUGCACCUGUCUUCUUGCCCAUUUUGACAAGCAUUUUAUACAGAUACCUUCUGUACCAAACCUUGUUCCAGGUGACAGGGGCAAUAGUAAAUAUGGGAUAUAAGAUCCCUGCACACAAG
rnacentral:lncRNA from 1 species